GCCGUCGCAUUCGCUUCGGUUCGACUCCAUUGUUUACAAGAAAAACAAAAUUGUUUGUUUAUUAAAUUGUCCGCUUUUGAUAACUUUUUAUUUUUUGCUGGAUAAUUUGUUUAUAUUGUUGUAGCUGAUAGAAUAACUGAUGAAAAUCAAUCAUGGAGGCCGGAAGAUUAAUUCAUGGAAGAUUCAUUCAAGAGCCAAUUCCUAGGAUAAGCUCAAUGGAUUGCAUGUAGUUUCGCGCACGGAAGUGAAUGUUUUUUACUUUUCCAGUUCAUCAAUAAAGGAUUUCCAAUAUUUGAUGGCAGUAUCGUUAUUUUGUUGGUAAUCGUUUUUUACAACAAUAAUGAAUAAAAGGCAAAUUGUGCGAUAAACGGCCCUGUGAA